rfam:Schistosoma mansoni strain Puerto Rico chromosome 2, complete genome
AUCUAGCUGACGAGUCCCAAAUAGGACGAAAUCGCGUCAAACUGGAU